rnacentral:rRNA from 1 species
ACGCUCGACACCUACGAGGCAGCAGUGGGGAAUAUUGCACAAUGGGGGAAACCCUGAUGCAGCGACGCCGCGUGAGUGAAGAAGUAUUUCGGUAUGUAAAGCUCUAUCAGCAGGGAAGAAGAUGACGGUACCUGAGUAAGAAGCCCCGGCUAACUACGUGCAGCAGCCGCGGUAAUCUGAGCGGGCUGGCAAGGC